AGUAGACGUUCAGAGUUUGAUCCUGGCUCAGAACGAACGCUGGCGGCAGGCUUAACACAUGCAAGUCGAACGAACGUAGCAAUACGUUAGUGGCGCACGGGUGAGUAACGCGUGGAUAUCUGCCUUUUGGUUCGGGAUAACCUUGGGAAACUAGGGCUAAUACCGAAUGGUUCCUACGGGAUAAAGAUUUAUCGCCAAAAGAUGAGUCCGCGUCCGAUUAGCUAGUUGGUGUGGUAACGGCGCACCAAGGCGACGAUCGGUAGCUGGUCUGAGAGGACGAUCAGCCACACUGGGACUGAGACACGGCCCAG
rnacentral:rRNA from 1 species